rnacentral:rRNA from 1 species
GUGGAUUAGAUACCCUAGUAGUCCACGCAGUAAACGAUGAUAGCUCGUUGUCGGCGAUACACAGUCGGUGACUUAGAGAAAUCGAUAAGCUAUCCACCUGGGGAGUACGUUCGCAAGAAUGAAACUCAAAGGAAUUGACGGGGGCCCGCACAAGCGGAGGAACAUGUGGUUUAAUUCGAUGAUACGCGAGGAACCUUACCCGGGCUUGAAAGUUAUUGACGAUUCUGGAAACAGGAUUUCCCUUCGGGGCAAGAAACUAGGUGCUGCACGGUCGUCGACAACU